CCUACGGGGUGCACCAGUGGGGAAUAUCGCACAAUGGGCGCAAGCCUGAUGCAGCCAUGCCGCGUGUAUGAAGAAGGCCUUCGGGUUGUAAAGCACCUUCAGUCGUGAGGAAGGUAGUGUAGUUAAUAGCUGCAUCAUUUGACGUUAGCGACAGAAGAAGCACCGGCUAACUCCGUGCCAGCAGCCGCGGUAAUACGGAGGGUGCGAGCGUUAAUCGGAAUUACUGGGCGUAAAGCGCAUGCAGGUGGUUUGUUAAGUCAGAUGUGAAAGCCCGGGGCUCAACCUCGGAAUAGCAUUUGAAACUGGCAGACUAGAGUACUGUAGAGGGGGGUAGAAUUUCAGGUGUAGCGGUGAAAUGCGUAGAGAUCUGAAGGAAUACCGGUGGCGAAGGCGGCCCCCUGGACAGAUACUGACACUCAGAUGCGAAAGCGUGGGGAGCAAACAGGAUUAGAUACCCUGGUAGUC
rnacentral:rRNA from 1 species